AGAGUUUGAUCCUGGCUCAGAGCGAACGCUGGCGGCAGGCCUAACACAUGCAAGUCGAGCGCCCCGCAAGGGGAGCGGCAGACGGGAGAGUAACACGUGGGAACGUACCCUUUGGUUCGGAACAACACAGGGAAACUUGUGCUAAUACCGGAUAAGCCCUUACGGGGAAAGAUUUAUUGCCAAAGGAUCGGCCCGCGUCUGAUUAGCUUGUUGGUGAGGUAACGGCUCACCAAGGCUACGAUCAGUAGCUGGUCUGAGAGGAUGAUCAGCCUCACUGGGACUGAGACACGGCCCAGACUCCUACGGGAGGCAGCAGUGGGGAAUAUUGGACAAUGGGCGCAAGCCUGAUCCAGCCAUGCCGCGUGGAUGAUGAAGGCCCUAGGGUUGUAAA
rnacentral:rRNA from 1 species